UGUAGCGCAGCUGUGGGCUGUGGUUUGGACAGUUUGGUUAUGUCGUUGAUUGAUAAAUAUAGAGUGAUUGUUAUACUGCCUUUUUAAAUAGUUUUCAUAUUAUAUUUUUGGACUUAUUAACAUGCUUGUUGCAUGUCAUUGUGGAAGCCCAAACUGUGUCAGUGCGAUUUUCAAUCGCAAAAUUACUGAUAAAAACCUAUUGGCUCGUAGAGGUAGUGUAGACAUUCUCUACACUAGAGAACUGUGGAUAAACAUCAAUCAACCGGGACGAUUUUACGAUCUCACUUAUUCAAAACUAAAGACUCGGAGGAUCCAGUACUUGGAGUCUUUUAUUACUGUCAAUGAUUACAGACGAACCAGCUUAUUUAGAGGACGAAAAUCAUCCUGAUCAAGUUCCAUCACAGGAAAUGGUACGCAAGCCUCAAAAAAGUGCGUAGGUAACAUGAUGUUGAAAGAACGAGGAGAUUGGAAAAGAAAGAAGUAAAUUGAGAGCUAUACAGAUAAAUCUAAAAGUAAACAUAGAGGACAAUGAUGCAUUAGAGACUGGCAUAUCAUCUCAUACGGACAACACCGCAGGAGAGUUUUUUUAUAUUUGAACAAUUCAGCUUCGCUUCAAAGAAAGUUGGAUGCAUUGGAAAAAAAAUUUAAGCUCACUGUUUGGACUUACGGAAGAUAUUGAAAAUGCUAUAAAGUAGGGAUAUUAUACCGGAUUUGUAUUGUAAAUAAUACAGGCUGUAACAAAAAUACAGGUCAUAAAUUAAACCACAUAUUCUGGGACCAAAAAUAGUUCGAUUGAACCUAACUUACCUUAGUACAAAUAGGCACACAAAAAAAGUUACAGCCCUUUGAAGUUACAAAAUGAAAAUCGAUUUUUUCCGAUAUAUCGAAAACUAUUAGAGAUUUUUUAAUGAAAAGUGACAUGUGGCAUUGUUAUGGUAGGUACAUCUUUAAAAGAAAUUAUAGUGAAAUUUGUGCACCCCAUAAAAAUAUUAUGGGGGUUUUGUUCCCUUAAACCCCCCAAACUUUUAUGUACGUUCCAAUUAAAUUCUUAUUGUGGUGCCAUCAGUUAAACACAAUGUUUUUAAUAAAAGUUUUUUGCCUCUUAGUAAUUUUUCGAUAAAUCAUUUUCAAUCGAGAUGCGGCUUCUUUUUUAAUAUGUUUACGUAAAAAUUUUAUGGGGGUUUUGUGCCUUUAAACCUCCCAAAUGUUUGUGUACGUUACAACUAAACUAUUAUUGCGGUUACAUUAGUUAAACAGAGUGUUUUUGAAACUUUUUGCCUCUUAGUAUUUUUCCGAUAAGGCAUCUUUUAUCGAGAUGUGGCUUCUUUUCUAAUACAGUUCAAAAUAUACCUCAAACUGUAAUUAUUUAUAAAUAAUUUUUCGUAUUAUUACCAGUACGUAACAGUAUACAAAUAUAUGGUGGAUUUGACAAAUAUUCAAAAUAUCUCGACAAAAACUAGCUUUUCGAAAAAGUACUAAGAGGCAAAAAAGUUUUAGAAAUAUUGUUAUUAACUAAUGGUGCCACAAUGAUAAUUUAAUUGGAACGUACACAAAAGUUUGGGGGGGUUUAAGGGAACAAAACCCCCAUAAAAUUUUUAUGGUGUGCACAAAUUUCACUUUAAUUUUAUUUUAAGAUAUUCCUGUCAUAAGGAUGCCACAUAUCCGUUUUCAAUAAGAAACCACAAACAGUUUUCGAUAUAUUGGAAAAAAUCCAUUUUUAUUUUGUAACUUAAAAGGGCUGUAACUAUUUUUAUGUGAACAUUUGUACUAAGGUAAGUUAGGUUCAGUCGAACUAUUUUUGGUCGCAGAAUAUGUGAUUUAAUUUAUGACCUGUAUUUUUGUUACACCCUGUAUAUUGUAUGAUAUUUUAAAAGAAAAUAAUGAGUACCACCAGUGUUACUACAAAUGUCUAGUGAAUUUAGUAAGUAAUUUUGCCAAUUUUGUAAAAUUGACAAGAAAAUAAUUACUAAAUAGUUAGUAAUUUUGCCAAUUUUCACAAAAUUGGCCAAAAACAAAAAAAAUAUCUACUAAAAACACUAGCCAGUUGUGUCGUGAGUUUAGCGAACCGACUAUAACUCUUGUUAAAUUAAGGUUGAGUUUACACUUUUGACUUGCCUACAGAUUUAAAAAUAUUUUUGUCAUAAUAUACAGUAUAUCCCUGUAAGUUGGAACCAUAAUAUGGAAAACUUUUUUAUUAUUCAUUUUACGAAAAAUAGUUGUUCUACAUAAAAGGUUCUGCAAUAUCUAGAAUCUCUGAUUCAACCAUCAGAUAGUAAAUUUUUAUGGGUAUUACACAGGGUAUGUCAAAAAAAUAUGAAUGUCACUCAAGAGAAAAGUAGCUUUAUUUUUACAAUAUUGAACAUUGUUAUUAUGAACAGUUAAUUGGAAAUAGAACUAUAUUCUAAUAUGGAAUUACAUCCUUCUAAUUGAAAAAGAAAUUAAAAAUUUUUCUCAACAUAUAUAAUCAAUAUUAUUUUCUGUUAUUUCAAUUAUGAUAACUUUUGUUAUUAAUUUUACGAAAGAAAAGUUAUAGAAAGUUCUGAAUGAUCUAAACCCUAAAAUAUAACCAUCUUAUAGCAAAUAUUACCGAUUUUGUAUGAGGUAUAUAAAAAAACUGUUUUUUAUGACGACAAAGAAGUAUAACUUCUUACGUGCGUACACAAGUACACACACUCUUUUUUUUUGUUAAUUUGAAACAUCUCCAGAAAUAAUCUACUUUUAUAGUUAUCAGACUGUGCCAAAAUACGAGUAUUAUUAUAGUCUAGCAUAUGACCGGUGUUUUCAUAAUGCUCAACUACUGCACACGUAUUUUUUCUUAAGCGGCAAUCACUUUUAUGUUGUGUGAUUCGUUGCUUUAACCAUUGUGAUGUUUGGUAAAUGUAACUAUUCUGACAUCCUAGACAUGGUAUUUCAUAAACAACAUUACUUCUAUACAAGGUUGGUACUGGGUGUCAUUGGAUACAGUAUCUAGGAUGUCAGAAUAGUUACAUUGGCCAAACAUCACAAUGGUUAAAGCAACGAAUCA